rnacentral:rRNA from 1 species
UACAGAGGGGGCAAGCGUUGUUCGGAAUUACUGGGCGUAAAGCGUGCGCAGGCGGUGAUGUAAGGCAGGUGUGAAAUCCCCGGGCUUAACCUGGGAACUGCAUUUGUGACUGCAUCGCUGGAGUGCGGCAGAGGGGGAUGGAAUUCCGCGUGUAGCAGUGAAAUGCGUAGAUAUGCGGAGGAACACCGAUGGCGAAGGCAAUCCCCUGGGCCUGCACUGACGCUCAUGCACGAAAGCGUGGGGAGCAAACAGG